AUUACGUAAGGAGACAGAAUGCACUCAGAAUGUAGUAUCUGUUCUCAUCAGCUUAAUAGAUGAUACGACUUAUAAAAGGAACCAAGAUUUUAAACUCAUUUUUGCAAGUGGCGGAGUGCUUGCUUGACCUCCGCCACUGGUUGUACUGGUAUUGCACUUUCUUCGGGGUUUUUUUUUUGUAU